GACGAACGCUGGCGGCGUGCUUAGCACAUGCAAGUCGAGCGGUAAGGCCCUUUCGGGGGUACACGAGCGGCGAACGGGUGAGUAACACGUGGGUGACCUGCCCUUAGCUCUGGGAUAAGCCUGGGAAACUGGGUCUAAUACCGGAUAUGACUCCAUGACGCAUGUUGUGGGGUGGAAAGCCUUGUGCGGCUAGGGAUGGGCCCGCGGCCUAUCAGCUUGUUGGUGGGGUGANGGCCUACCAAAGGCGACGACGGGUAGCCGGCCUGAGAGGGCGACCGGCCACACUGGGACUGAGACACGGCCCAGACUCCUACGGGAGGCAGCAGUGGGGAAUCUUGCGCAACGGGCGAAAGCCUGACGCAGCGACGCCGCGUGGGGAUGACGGCCU
rnacentral:rRNA from 1 species